CCGCACGUGACCCAGAUGGAAGCUACCCUGCAAGCUCUGUUCGGAGUCACCCUUACAACGGGUCAGUGAGUCACAUGCAUGCUUAGGAGGAGAAUGAAGUGAGUGUGAGCUGUUGAUACUCCACUUCAGCUGUUCUGGAAUGUCCCUAACAUUGAUCAAAGCCGUAGUCGUGUCUCGCUACAUGUGUGCAUAGAACACUUCUUAUGAUGUCCCUCUCCGUGUUCAGUCUGAAAUGGAUAUACACGUUAUUGAGGAAGUGUUACACAGACAACGAAUAUGAAAGCUGGCGACAUUGUUCCCAUUACAGUGAUAUGUGUCGUUUGAUACUCUGACUGUUCGCAUAGAACCGCUUGUGCAGAAGAUCCGCUGUCUGAACCCAGCGAUGUUGCAGAAUGAAUUCACCCCGUAACUUCAAAGCUGAAUAUACAUAAAUACAUAGAGUUACACAAACAUGACACAGUGGAUCGCAGAUGACGUAACAGUCUGACAGGGUGUUUUUACUUCCUCGUUGUUCACCAUGGCGGGUGUAAGGAUAUUGGUUGUGUUAGUGUGUAUAGGAAGGACACAGUUGGCAUCGGGUUCCUGCGCAUCAGGACUGUUUGGAGACUCCUGUAGCUACUCCUGCCACUGUCAGACACCAUGUGACGAGACUACAGGUGCCUGUACUGGUGAUUGUGACACUGGAUGGAGGAAGGCAGGGGGCCUUUGCCAGAAAC